GACGAACCGUGCGAACGUUGUUCGGAGUCACUGGGCUUAAAGGGCGCGUAGGCGGGUUCGCAAGUCUGUGGUGAAAGCCUCCAGCUUAACUGGAGAAGUGCCGUGGAUACUGCGAAUCUUGAGGAGGGUAGGGGCGUCUGGAACGGUCGGUGGAGCGGUGAAAUGCGUUGAUAUCGACCGGAACUCCGGUGGCGAAGGCGGCCCACUGGUCCGGUACUGACGCUGAGGUGCGAAAGCGUGGGGAGCAAACAGG
rnacentral:rRNA from 1 species